rnacentral:rRNA from 1 species
CGAGUGGCGGACGGGUGAGUAAUGUCUGGGAAACUGCCCGAUGGAGGGGGAUAACUACUGGAAACGGUAGCUAAUACCGCAUAACGUCGCAAGACCAAAGAGGGGGACCUUCGGGCCUCUUGCCAUCGGAUGAACCCAUAUGGGAUUAGCUAGUAGGUAAGGUAACGGCUUACCUAGGCGACGAUCCCUAGCUGGUCUGAGAGGAUGAUCAGCCACACUGGGACUGAGACACGGCCCAG